rnacentral:rRNA from 1 species
GACAGAGGUCCCGAGCGUUAGGCGGAAUCACUGGGCUUAAAGCGUGUGUAGGCGGCGGCCUAAGUACCUUGUGAAAUCCCACGGCUCACCCGUGGAACUGCUCGGUAUACUGGGUCGCUUGAGCCACUUAGGGGCUACCGGAACAAAUGGUGGAGCGGUGAAAUGCGUAGAUAUCAUUUGGAACGCCAAUGGUGAAAACAGGUAGCUGGGAGUGUGCUGACGCUGAGACACGAAAGCCAGGGGAGCAAACGGG